rfam:Perkinsus marinus ATCC 50983 gcontig_1104296172408, whole genome shotgun sequence.
GUUGGUUUAGCUUAGUCGUAGAGCGUCAGUUUUGUAAACUGAAGAUCGGCGGUUCAGUCCCGCCAUCCGGCC